rnacentral:rRNA from 1 species
ACUCAAAUGAAUUGACGGGGGCCCGCACAAGCAGCGGAGCGUGUGGUUUAAUUCGAUGCAACGCGAAGAACCUCACCCAGGCUUGACAUGCAGGAAGUAGGACCCCGAAAGGGGAACCACCCGUAAAGUCGGGAACUUGCACAGGUGCUGCAUGGCUGUCGUCAGCUCGUGCCGUGAGGUGUUGGGUUAAGUCCCGCAACGAGCGCAACCCUCGGCGUUAGUUACCAUGUCUAACGCGACCGCCGGUUUCAAACCGGAGGAAGGUGGGGAUGACGUCAAGUCAGCACGGCCCUUACGCCUGGGGCUACACACACGCUACAAUGGCCGGUACAAUGGGACGCCAAGAGGUGACUCGGAGCAAAUCCUAUCAAAGCCGGUCUCAGUUGGGAUUGCAGGCUGCAACUCGCCUGCAUGAACGCGGAGUUGCUAGUAACCGCAGGUCAGCACACUGCGGUGAAUACGUUCCCGGGCCUUGUACACACCGCCCGU